rnacentral:rRNA from 1 species
GACGAACGCUGGCGGCGUGCUUAACACAUGCAAGUCGAACGGUAAGGCGCCGUAUUUGUCGGGUGUUCGAGUGGCGAACGGGUGAGUAACACGUGAGUAACCUGCCCCUGACUAUGGGGUAACCUCUUGAAACACGGUCUAAUACCGGAUACGAUCUCCUGCCGCAUGGGGAGUGUGGGUAAAUGUCGUCGGUUGGGGAUGGGCUCGCGGCUUAUCAGCUUGUUGGUGUGGUAGUGGCUUACCAAGGCGACGACGGGUAGCCGGCCUGAGAGGGUGACCGGCGACAAUGGGACUGAGGUACGGCCCAGAGUCCUACGGGGGGCAGCAGUGGGAAAUAUUGCACAAUGGGCGGAAGCCUGAUGCAGAGGCGCCGCGUGCGGGAUGACGGCCUUCGGGUUAUAAACCGCUUUCGGCUGUGACGAAGCGUGAGUGACGGUAACGGCAGAAGAAGCACCGGCUAACUACGUG